UGCAAAUUGGGUGUGACCUGCGAGAACCCGCAACCAUGCGACGGCCUCCGGAGCCGUGUGCGCAGGUUCGAAUCCUGCCGGGG
rnacentral:tRNA from 1 species